AUAACAGUCAGAAAUGACUGCUAAUGCCGCAUAAGCGCACAGGGCCGCAUGGCCCGGUGUGAAAAACUCCGGUGGUAUGAGAUGGACUCGCGUCUGAUUAGCUAGUUGGCAGGGUAACGGCCUACCAAGGCGACGAUCAGUAGCCGGCCUGAGAGGGUGAACGGCCACAUUGGGACUGAGACACGGCCCAAACUCCUACGGGAGGCAGCAGUGGGGAAUAUUGCACAAUGGGGGAAACCCUGAUGCAGCGACGCCGCGUGAGUGAAGAAGUACUUCGAUAUGUAAAGCUCUAUCAGCAGGGAAGAAAAUGACGGUACCUGACUAAGAAGCCCCGGCUAACUACGUGCCAGCAGCCGCGGUAAUACGUAGGGGGCAAGCGUUAUCCGGAUUUACUGGGUGUAAAGGGAGCGUAGACGGCUUUGCAAGUCUGACGUGAAACUCCGGGGCUCAACUCCGGAACUGCGUUGGAAACUGUAAGGCUUGAGUGCCGGAGAGGUAAGCGGAAUUCCUAGUGUAGCGGUGAAAUGCGUAGAUAUUAGGAGGAACACCAGUGGCGAAGGCGGCUUACUGGACGGCAACUGACGUUGAGGCUCGAAAGCGUGGGGAGCAAACAGGAUUAGAUACCCUGGUAGUCCACGCGGUAAACGAUGAAUAAUAGGUGUUGGGGGACAAAGUCCUUCGGUGCCG
rnacentral:rRNA from 1 species